AUUUGGUCCUUAGGGCAGUUAAUUUAUCUCAUUGACAAAUGUAUAAUUAUUGUACAUUGUGGAAAAAACUAGUUACAAAAAUGAUCUUAGACAAUUCUUGAGUGGCAUAAGUUAUUCUGUUUUUAAAUAACAGCUGUAUAUUGAGAUGUGGUGGAAAUGACAUUUGUUCAUUGCAGGUCAGAAAAAAAUUAAAAUAUUAACAAUUUCUCUUGUAAUCUAAGUUUGUCCUCUUACAGACCAUAAAACUAGACAUUAUUUAAACUUAUGAGACUGUGUUAAGUGACUUUUGAACAAGUUUUUUUUUUUUUUUUUAAUUCAACUUCAUAAGGCUAAAAGUGCCCCUACUUGAAGAAACGCCCUUAACUGGUUUCAUUGAUUCAACUUGACUGAUAAAUACAAGAAUAUGGCAAUAUAUGGUUUAUCUGAGUUCUUAUUAUAAUUUUCAUCAUAAUAAAGAAUAUCUAUAAUGAAAUGCUAAUCGACAUUAUUACUGCUUAGAAUACAAUGGAAUAUUGUGUGCCUAAAUUAAGUUAGGCACACAAUUACUCGACUGACGUUAUGAAGUGAGUUUGGAGUAAAAAAUGUUAUUAAAGGUGGUAUUUUCACGUGCUCUCAGAUGGAGUAGCAUUUCCUACACAGAGCUGUAGUACAGCUGUCAUUAUCGUGAGCUAUUUCGUCAAUUUCAUAAUCCUACGAUUAUAUCGUCUGCGAUUAUGAACGCGAUUUUUGAAUACUUAUCAGAGAACUAUGGCUCUGUGUAGUAAAUGCUGUUCUACCUGAAAGCAGGUGAUGGAGAUUUACUGCUAAUCAGAGAACGGCUCUACUGACAAAAUGUGCAUGACAAUAACAGUUAAUUGCGUUCGAUUUAUCGUGCAGCCCUACAACCCAUAAAAAAAAAACCCCUCUACACCGACCUUCUCAAAUGCAGACCCCAGACAGAAUUGUAAGAGGCAUCGCACACAGUUUCCUUGAUGAUCAUCUCAUCGUCCGCAGAGGACAGUGUUUCAACAUGUGGGUUGAUCUGUGCCGUCCUUUCAAUCCCAGUUGUGACAAGCUUCACCUGGAGCUCAAACUACUGUAGGUCAUAUCCCAUCCAUCCGGGACGGCACUUAUGUGAUUGUUCCAUUAGUGGAAGAAUUUAAGAAAGACUGCUGGGGGGGAAAAGAUCAUCGAACAAGGUGAAAACCAAAUCCAACUGUGUGUGCAAUACAAGUUUCCUUCAUCAGAACAACAGAAACAGAUAAUGCUUGCCUUAGACCAUGAUAGAUAAUGACAGCUAAGACAGAUAUGUGAAACAUCUAAACACUUAUUGAACAAUAAGGUGCUUUAGAUAAAAAUAAAAAAAUAAUAAAAAAUAAAUAAAACAAAAAAAUAAAACAAAAACACAUUGAACUGCAUAAACAUUAAGAUGAUAGUUAGGCAGUGAAAAAUUGGAGUAUAUACAAAAAAUAUUUAAAUGUCUGUAGUAUCUGCCCUAUAUUGUCCUGCACUAAGUGAAAAUAUAAAAUUGAUUAACAGUGCAAAAAAUAAAUUAUGCAUAUGGCAGUGGGCAUACAUGCUACACUAGCUGGCUUUUGACACAAACAUGCAAGUGGUGCACGUUCUGCUUUAAAUUUCUGGUUUAGGGACAAGUGUCAGGUGUGUUAAAAACACAAAUUUCACUGUUUGUCAUUUUCCAGCAAGUAAAGAUUACAUGAUGUUGUUACUACAAUAUUGUGUGUGAUUAUGUUGAUAGAGAUAAAUCGAUGAAUUAAAAACAAUGCUACUUACAUAGUCAUUUCCUUCCAUAUCUCUCAGGAAAGGGUACUUCACAAUCAGUGUGUGGCAACUUGAAUAUACAGUACUCUGCAUUAGUUGGAUACCUAGCAGAAAGGUAGAAACAAACUCUAAAUUAGUUUUUCGAUUUGGUCUAAUUGUCUUCAUAGAUUGUGAAUUGAUCUUAGUACAAUUGUAAUAACAGAGUUGGUAAUAAUUAUUAUACUUACAGGAUGUGUUCUGUACUGUAUUGCACAAAAAGGACACUGAUACAAACUACCAACUCUGAAGUCUUCACCUUCGAUACAUAUGAGGACAUCGUUUUGUCUCACUGUAACAUGUAUCUGUCUACAACAAUAAACUAAUUACUAAAGCUGCAAGAUAUAAUGCAAAGGAAAUUAAUUAUGAUUGUAAGCUUCCAUAAAAUGGGGGGAGAGGGGACGGUUGCAACACUUUUUGCAUUUGCUUUAGUUUCUCAGAGACUGUUUGCAUUAGAAAACCAGAAUUAAAAUACAAUAAAGCCGCAUCAGUCAGCUACUCACCCACACUGCUGUAACGUGCACAUAUGAUUAGACACAUAUAAUUUAUACUUGAAUAGACAAAGUCAAAUGUUGCAACCGACCCCACAAUAGGGGACGGUUGCAACAUUCCACGGGGCUUUUGCAACAUUCAUUAAAAUGUAAUUAAAACCAUUCUUAAAUAUUAUUUAGCAAUUUCUUUAUUUUAUUUGUGCAUAGACAUGGUCUUUAAUAAGUUAAAUUGGCUGUAUAAAACAAAACAUAGUAAAUGGGGGAAUAAAACAUUUUCAUGUUACAACCAUUUCUUGGUUAAAUAUUACAAUACAUUUGAACUACAAAAUAUUAAUUUAAUCAGAAUCUAGACACUAAUAUGUAUUAAUAGUCUACUUCUGUUAGCAUCUGUAAAAGGUUACUGAACUGAGGCCACUGCAUAAACAUAGACACUAUCUUAAGACUGUCUUAAGAACUAGUUUGACCAGCUAGCAGUUAACAGUGGUAAUCAGUCUUACUUUUUUAAAAUUAAAAUUAGUCAAAUCUACCAUUUUAUGGAACUGACUUGAGUCCACUUUUGAAAUAAGUCCACUUUUACUUCAAUAAAAAGGAGAAAUACCUAACUAUUGAAAGGGGUUCUUUAUUAAUCCAUAAAAUUACAAUUAUGUAAUGUUAUGGCAAGCUUUUACAUCAGUGUUGUGGUAAGCAACAGCAUGUUGCAACUGUCCCCACACUGACAGGCGUGAUAAAACUUGGUAUAUUAGCUUGACACAAUAUCUUUGACACAUGCUAACUAUGCCUAUUAGAAGCUAAGAAAACACAGAUAUAAAUCAUAUGUUUUAACAAACCCGAUUCCAAAAAAGUUGGGACACUGUACAAAUUGUGAGUAAAAUAGGAAUGGAAUAAUUUACAAAUCUCAUAAACUUAUAUUUUAAUCACAAUAGAAUAUAGAUAACAUAUCAAAUGUUGAAAGUGAGACAUUUUGAAAUGUCAUGCCAAAUAUUGGCUCAUUUUGGAUUUCACGAGAGCUACACAUUCCAAAAAAGUUGGAACAGGUAGCAAUAAGAGGCCAGAAAAGUUAAAUGUACAUAUAAGGAAUAGCUGGAGGACCAUUUUGCAACUUAUUAGGUCAAUUNCCAGUUAUAACAAUCCACCGUGCCAUUCGCCGUUGCCGUCUAAAACUCUAUAGGUCAA
rnacentral:lncRNA from 12 species